rnacentral:misc_RNA from 1 species
CAGAGUAUAUCUUCUACUCAUAACCCAUGUGAACUUACUCUUGUUGCUUCGGCGGGUUCGCCCGCCGGGGGUAUACAAACUCAUGCUAUAGUUGUUAUUCUGAGUACACUAUAUAAUAAAUUA